AUUGAACGCUGGCGGCAGGCCUAACACAUGCAUGUCGAGCGAGCGGCGGACGGGUGAGUAAUGUCUGGGAAACUGCCUGAUGGAGGGGGAUAACUACUGGAAACGGUAGCUAACACCGCAUACCAUCAGACGUGCCAAGAUGGGAUUAGCUAGUAGGUGGGGUAACGGCGUACCUAGGCGACGAUCCCUAACUGGUAUGGGAGGAUGACCAGCCACACUGGAACUGAGACACAGUCCAUACUCCUACGGUAGGCAGCAGUGGGGAAUAUUGCACAAUGGGCGCAGGCCUGAUGCAGCCAUGCCGCGUGUAAGAAGAAGGCCUUCGGGUUGUAAAGCACGUUCAGCGGGGAGGCGUUACCCGCAGAAGAAGCACCGGCUAACUCCGUGCCAGCAGCCGCGGUAAUAC
rnacentral:rRNA from 1 species